GUCGCAGUGGCUCAACUGGGUAGAGGUUGGGCUUCGACUCAGAAGCCCGGGGUUCGAACCCCGGGUGUGGCG